GACCCCUUAGCUCAGUGGUAGAGCGUCGCAUUCCAGUCAAAUGUCACGUUGGGUUGUAUCGCGAAGGCCGUCCGUUCGAUCCGGGCAGGGGUCA